UGUAUAAAUGUGUGUACAAAAAAGUCUACAAAAUGUUCAUUACAGUAAAAUCAGAUGAAAUAUUCCCAAUGAAUCCUCCCAUUGUUUGACAGAAUUGAGGACAUUGCCAACCCUUACGACUAUCCAAUGAUCAGCCAGGGUGAAAUUACUGUAAAGAGCAUCAAUGACGUGGAGGAAUUCAUUGCCACUGAUAUGCAGCAGUUAGGAGUCUCAAAAUGCUCAGUGAUGUCUGUCAGAAGAUUCUGUACACAGCACCAGUUGAGGAGAAAAAGAGGUUUCAGACCCAGAACUGGAAACGACGAUUAUCUAAUCAAUAGAUAAAACCUGUGUCCAGAUCAUCCAGCCCUGCCACCCACCUGAUCAGCCAGCAACCUCUGACUGAGCGGUGCAACGGAUGCCACCCCCGGUCCAGGACUACUCCUGAUCUGUGGCACCUGAGCGAAACGGCUGGACGACAGCCUGAACUGGCAGACAGACCAUAAUCAAACCAAGGCUACAGCUACAGAGAGACAGCCAGGAUCAUCGGUGCUCUUGCCCACAGCCGCAUCAUCCAGUUGAAGGAAUUGGAAAAUGCCCACAAGGAGGCCGGAGGACUGGAAGCGUGCGCAGAACUGCCAGACCAACUGGACAAGCAAGUGACAGCGGAUGAAGAGGACAAGGAGCUACAGGAGGAAGUGGAAAGCUUCAAGAGGCCUUUACAAAACCUACACAGACACUGAGCAUAGAAAGCAGCUGGGGUAAAAGCCAGAGAGGCUCCAACAGGCUGAAGCUCUCUUAAGUAAUGGCCCAGGGGAAUCGAAACAACGCCUGUGAAUGCCACCUGCAAGCAGCCCAAGCUGAAACCCAAGUCCUUGGCUCAGCAACAAGAUAACCCAAACACCAAUCGGGUAAAGUCAAACAAAGCCAAGGUGACCUCAG
ensembl:lncRNA